UGGGGGAUAUUGCACAAUGGGCGAAAGCCUGAUGCAGCGACGCCGCGUGGGGGAUGAAGGCCUUCGGGUUGUAAACUUCUUUUGCUCUGAACAAGGCAUGCCUUUGGGGUGUGUUGAGUGUAGGGGUUGAUUAGCGCCGGCUAACUACGUGCCAGCAGCCGCGGUAAUACGUAGGGCGCGAGCGUUGUCCGGAAUUAUUGGGCGUAAAGGGCUUGUAGGUGGCUGGUUGCGUCUGUCGUGAAAGCUAAUGGCUUAACUGUGGGUGUGCGGUGGGUGCGGGCUGGCUUGAGUGCAGUAGGGGAGGCUGGAAUUCCUGGUGUAGCGGUGGAAUGCGCAGAUAUCAGGAGGAAUACCGGUGGCGAAGGCGGGUCUCUGGGCUGUUACUGACGCAGAGGAGCGAAAGCGUGGGGAGCGAACAGG
rnacentral:rRNA from 1 species